AAAUGGAGAGUAUAAAGUUUUUUUUAGAUUUGUUUUCUCUUCCUCCAUUAUUGAGCAAAACUUAAUUUCUUUUUUUCAUUUAUAAUAAUUUCAGCCUGUAAACUGAGCCUCAGCCAAUUAUCUCACAGCCUGAAGAGAGAGGUGGCAGUUUCUGGCCAUCUAAACUCACCGACAUGGGUCAGCUGAUCAGUGUGCUGCAUUUUGGACACAAACAGGUCCACAUUUUGACUUCACCACCACUUAUGGAUCGUUGGCUACAACACGAGGUCAGACCAACCCUCUUCCACCUGUGGUUGACAUCUCAGAGUCUGUGACCGAUAUGACCUCCAGCAGCUUUGUCAUCUCCUGGGUUUCUGCCUCGGACACAGUUUCAGGUUUCAGAGUGGAGUACGGGCUCAUUGAGCAGGGACACAGCACUGGAUAGCCUGUUGUUCUUGGUUUGUUUCUGUCAGAUGUGUCCUGCACAGCUACCUCUGUGAACAUUAGUGAGCUUCUCCCUGGUACACUGUUAAUGUCUGUGAGGUUACUGAGGGAGGCGAGGACAACCUCACUCUUACUACCUGACAAACAACAGCACCUGAUGAUCCCAAGGAAGGAAGUGGGAGAUCCAUCCAUCAUGAUCAGCUGGGAAAAACCACUGGCUCCCAUCACUGGUGAUGUGGUCGACACUCCAUCAGUAGAAGGUGAAAUCACAGAGCUGAAUCUCCCUGAUGCAGCAACGUCUGUCACUCUGAGUGACUUUUGACCAAACCUGUAAACCAUCAACACGAAUGAACCUGCUUCAGCUGCUGCUCCUUGCUCCCCACAGCCUCCACUGAUGGAUGUGUCAGCUCACCUGUACUGUAGCCGUGGGGAGAGCGAGGGAGAGAUGAAGCUGAGAACCAGUAGUCUAAGGAGCCUGGAAAGAAAAGCGUCUGGACUUCUUUAAGUUGCUUGAAGACGUUUCACCUCUCAUCCGAGAAGCUUCUUCAGUUCUAAGGGUCAAAUGGUGGAGAGUCCCAGAUUUAAACCCAGUGGGAGUUUCCCACCCAAAGAGGGACAGUUCAUAAAGAACCAGAUCAUAAAGUCCUCUGUGUGCCCAGCACGUCUGUCUGACCAUCUUCAUCAGCUGCUACAUGUUGCUUCCAUCUCCCUCCUCCCUGGAUCUGUCUUCUCUCUGUCUCUUUCAUUCUUUCCUGUGGGAUCGUUGCCCACUCUCUCUCUGACUGUGAUGCCAUCUCUCUCCCUGACUUCUCUCACAAAAUAACACGCAGCACAUUUUGAAUUCUGCUGCUUCAGAGGAAAUGUCACAGUUGGAGAUAUUCAGGCUGACUUUUCCACAAGUUCAGUGUUUCACAAUAAAAGCCUGGUUACAGCCUUGAUUCUACUCUGCUGUGGACACGGACAGCUGGACACUCCACGGCUGAGGAGUCCUCCCUGUUAGGGAGAAGCAGCAUGUUUGUGAUAGAAGGACACAUGAACGGCACAUCCAGUUCAUCUCCAGCCCUGUCAGCAGUUCCAGCUGUAGUGCUGUUACAAUAAUAGUCAUCACUUCUAGUUUCACAGCAGGAAACUGGGAACAUUCAGCGUCUCAAAGAUUGACCUGUUAGCACCUGCAGACAUUGUUGAGCUGGGUCUGCUGAUCUUGUGGAGGUCUUCAUUUCUCCACUAUUUGGAUAAGCUUCAGCAGGAUCCACAGUCAGAGUCAAAGUGGAGUUCUAGCAUGGACGUAACGCUUCAAGAAGCUUCAGACAGACAGUGUUCUCCAAAAGUUCUGCUCUAAAAGGAAACUUUGAGCUGGCUCUGUAAUUGUUGUAGUCAGAAGGAUGGAGGCUGGAUCUUUGAUGAGUGCUUGCACACAGGCUGUCUUUAAGUAUUCUGGGACACAGCCAGAGGACAGACAAGUGUUCAUUAUUGGAAGCAGCCGAGAGGCAGGGACAUCCCAAACUUCACUCAGGAACUUUGGAGGAAUCAUAUCUACACAGCUUGAUGAGCGUUUCAGUUGUGCCACAGUCCUUCAAAGCUCCUCCACAGAGACUGGCAGAAAAGAAGAUCAGAUAUUGUGGCUGGGGUCGGGGACAUCAAGAAAAGAAUCAGGAGCUGCUGUUUUGGAUUUCCUCUCAUUCAUUUGAUCCUUCAGAAAGUUUAGAAAGUGAAGACGUUCCUCACUCGAUGCCGUAAUCUGAUGAAAACUUGCAGGAUUUCAAAGACGCUCCACUGAGCUCCAAAGAGCUCUGGGCUGUGCUUAUUAGAAUGAAUUAAAGGAGAGAAAUAGCCGGCCCUCGCCUCGUUCACCUGUUCAUUGAAAGCAGUCGUUCAUGCUUUCAUUUCUUGAUGACGGAGCUGAAGAUUCACCUUCUUCCGUCUCCUUUCUGCCCUCCGGCAUUGUCUUUUCAGACUGUGAAUGUCUUUGUGAAUCCAGGGCAGCGAGCGAACACCACGUUUAGUCCUGAUCUUAAAAGGUGCAGUUGAAUCUAAAUUGGAUGUACAAAGGAGGUUCAGAUCAUUCAGAGUGUUUGUGUGUGUGAGGGAGGAGGAACACCAGUGGUGGUAGGAAACACUGAUGAACAUGUUUCUCCUGUUUCCUCAUGAAAAGAGCGUCAGCGUACUGACACAGCUUCUUGGAAAAAUGAUCUCAAACAGAAUCCAUAAAUGAUCAGAUAGAAACACAUCAGCUCACAGCAUGGAGUUCAUACUGAAGCCCACAGUUAUAUGCAGACCAACAACACGCUGUUUGAAACUAAUGAAUUUACUGUACUGAGGAACUCUGUACAUCAUCUAUCCGAUCUUUAAGUGAUGACGUAUGAAUCCUGCUUCCAGGUCCAAACUGCUUUUUUAAGGCUGUUGUGUUUUUCAUGAUUUCGUGAUUUGUAUCUGGUUCUGUUGAAUCUGAACAUGCCAUGGUCUCCAGGAUCUGUAGGAUGUGUUGUUGUGGGUUGCUGUCUUCACCCCUCUCUCACCAGGGUGGAGCUCGACCUUGUUCCCUGCCUCUGGCCUUGCCUACAAUGGAGACCUGUGGCCAUAUUCUUCAUACCAUAUUCACCCGCUGGCUUCUCAUCAUGCGUGAUGUCCUCCUCACACUACUUAAGACUGUGGGAGAGUUUGCUUCUUCACUGGAUCGUUGUGCUAACUACCGUGAGUGUAGCUGCUGCUCUCCUAGUAAUUCCUUGUGGUUUCUCCUGACGACCUUCUCCUCUCCUUGCACAAAGCGUCCCUUCAACAGCCAAACCCAUCUGCUCUCUGAUUGGAUUGUUAAAUUUGUGAUUGACAGGACAUUGACCAAUCAGCUGAAAGGAAGAAAAAUCAGGUCAAAGUUCGUCCUUGCAAGCUGAAACUCACACACAGCCAGGAAACUUGAGCACAGUUUUACAGUUGUUUUUUUUUUUUUUUUGCUUUGUGUCUGUAAACAGACCUUAACAAUAACAAUUUGUAACUUGUGUAAAUAUUUUUUUAUGUGUUUGAGUUCAGUUUAAGAGCUUUAAAAUACUGAUCAUAAGAACAUAAGAUGGAGUGUUUGUCUCCUUUCAUGUUUACUAUUUUAUGUAUGUUUGUCAGACUUAAAUGUUUCAGAUCAAACACAUUAAAUAUUGUACAAAGAAAACACCAAAUGCAGUUUCUAAAUGAACGUGUUUGUUAUUAAGGGAACAAAUCCAAAGCUUUACCGUCCAGAUCUGAAACAUUUACAUGUGACAAACAUAAAAACCUGUGACUCUCAAAUUUAGGUUUAAAAUCAUUGAACAGUGCAUCAGUUUAAUCCUCUGUUUUGGAAACAAGUUAAACUGCAUUUCCUAUAAAAUAAACUAAUGAUGCUGUGAGGCGACAGUGCUGACCAUCAUGCUGCCACAGUUAAUAGUUCACUUUAUCAUUACUGUAAAAACUUCAUCAUGAAGCAUGUUUUUAUGAUGAGCUACAUUCCUCUGAACGUUUGGCUUGACUGUUUAUUCCCAUCCUUGUUCUUAAUGCUUUGAACAGCACAGCACUAUGAACUGUGGGUAAUCCCUCAGGUCCACAGAGAUAAGGACUCAAAGUGUGAUUGAUUGAUAACAUGACAGCAGGACGGCCCUGAGCCCUCAGAGGCCUCAAACCCAUUAACUGCAGAUGUUUGUCACACAUAUGAUUCCAUGAAGGGACAAAUGAUUGAAGCCUGCAUGUAUUUCUGUGCAUUUCUUUAAGAGACACAGAACUUUUGGAUCAUAGCAGAAAAAGCAAAAAGUGGAAUCAAAACAUGAAAACAAAUUGUUCAUGUGGUGGCCGUAGCUCAGGCGGUAGAGCAGGAUUGGAAGGUUGGUGGUUCAGUUCCUGGCUUCCCCGUAGUCUGAAUGCCAAAUAUCCUUGGGCAAAGAUACUAACCCCGUGUUGCUCUCAGAUGCAUCCAUCAGAGUGUGAAUGUCAGAUAGGCACAAACAGCUUAGAAGAAGUGAAUGGAUGUGAUUCGGUGAAUGGAUUAGUUGUAUAAAGCCCCAAAUUGCUCUCCGAUGCAUCCAUCGGAGUGUGAAUGUGUGUGAAUGUCAGUUAGAAAGCACCUAGGAAAAAUGUGCUUGUGCGAAUGGGUGUGAAUGGGUGAAUGCACAAGUUGUAUAAAGCGCUUUGAGUGCUCAGAGUAGAAAAGCGCUUUAUAAGAACCAGUCCAUUUACCAUGGUGGCUCACAGCACACACACAUGGACAUGGGGUCAUGACAUGGAGCUUUCUUUCUGACUUGAUGCAAUAAAAUGAUUCUGCUCAAACAUUUAUAUACUUUAUAUAUUCAUGAAUCCUGUGAUCAUUUGGGGGUUUUCAUGAUUUCUUUGAACUUUUGUUUUUCCAGGGUGUAAUUAUUGCACUUCAUACGUCUUUAAUGAUGGAUUUUUCUUUUCAAAAAAGUGUGGAAAUCUCACUCAUAAAUUGUAUUAUAUUUUUAUCCUAUUGUAUAUUUUAUUCUACUGUAUAUAGUAUUUUAUUUUAUUCUAUUCUGUACAGUUGUGUACAAUAUUUAUUCUUAUUAUAUUCUAAUUUUUGCUUCAGAACUUUUGCACUGUCCACUUCCUGCUGUGACAAAACAAAUUUCCCACAUGUGGGACUAAUAAAGGUUAUCUUAUCUUAUCUUAAAUAUAGUCAAAACUUCCUGUCUAUGUUAGUCUCAGAUUGGAAGAGAAGUUGCUGAGAAAGGCGAAAAAAGACAGAUGGCAACACAGAUUUCUUAAAUUAUGAGUAAAAUCCAUUUAAUAUAGCUAAUAUUUUCAGCCUCCAAUGUUCUUAAGAGAUAUAAAUAUUAUAAAAAGAUAUUCAUUUUUUAUCUUUUUAAAUAACUUAAGACACAAAUUCUUUUGAGAGCACAAAGCACUUAAUAGUCGAACGAAUCCUUCGACUGGAUGAUGGCAGAGAAAAGGACAUUAAUGAAACUUCUGGACAUUAUGAACAACUCUGGGCAUCCUCUGCACACGGCCAUAAACAACCAGAGGAGUCUGUUCAGUGACAGGUUGCUUCUCCCAAAGUCCAGGACCAACAGACAUAAAAACUCCUUUAUCCCACACGCCAUCAAACUCCUUGCUGGAGGGGAGAGGGAGGGGAAGCAGGAGGACAUAGGAUGGUGGGAACAACUGAGCUGUAGUGAUUUUCACUGUGCAAUAGGCUCACAAUACAUCUCAUCAAUGAGUAUGAGAGCACUAUUUAUCCUUUGUAUCCCUAUUAUAUAUUCUGUAUUUAUAUGUGUGUAUAUGUGUACAUAAGCUAGAUCCAUCCAUCCUCGGACAGUAGAGGGCAGAGUGCCUUGGGACUGAGUUGUGUGCGUCGCUGCCGUCAGCUUGCCAUUCUGCUAAGACCGACCAGGCGAGCAGUGUGUUUCCUGUUUUCAUUAUCUCUCCUGUUUUACACAUCAGAAAUGUGCCCAAAUGUAUGGAAACGCACAGCUGGACACUGCGAUAUUUAGUCUUUCAUAAUUUAAGACAUGUUUAUGAUGUGCACUGUAUUACACUGUAUUUACUUGAGCUAUUCCAGCUCUGCCAAACUUAAUAGCUUUGCUGCAUGCCUGAGUAAUGGUGGACGCUAUUGUCUUUCAGCAGUUACACUCGCUUCUGUAUGACAUGAAACUGCGAUCCAAUUAUGUUUACAGUUCCUGUAUACUUCUGUAACAUCAUCUUCAUUGCAAGUGUUUGUUGUUGUUGUUAUUUGUGUGUGUGUGUGUGUGUGUGUGUAGCGUGUCUGUAAAAUGCCAGCCUGAGGUCACUCAUAAAAUUGCUGUUUUAAUGCUGUUAGAACCAAACUUGUCUGAAAACAUACAAAGCAAGAAAGCUAAUAGGAGACAACACAAAUGUUAGCAGGUACAGUAAAAGUGAAGGGAGAGUUGUUCUUUUGUAAUAGUCACCGACAUGACAAUGUGGAUUAUUCUCCUUAUUUGUUUUUUUAUGUGAAACGGGUGAAUUCAUCCAUUUGGUUCAUUUAUUUUAACUUCAUGUUUUGUUUAUGCCAAUACUGUUGAUUGACAGUAAAAUAUACUGAAUAUUGUGCAGUGUAAAGGUGCACUCAGUUGUGGUGAAACGAAGUGACAAAAAAGGUGAAGCAGACAUGUUUGUUUUUAUGUGAAUAAAUUCUUGCAAGACUG